GCAGCUCUGUUUACCAGGAAGCCACGAAUCAGCCAGGCCACCUCAGACUUUUUGUGACAAGGAUCAUGCAGGAGUUUGAAAGUGACACAUUUUUCCCAGAAGUUGAUUUGGAGUAAUAUAAACUUCUCCCAGAAUACCCAGGUGUCCUCUCUGAGAUCCAGGAGGAAAAAGGCAUCAAGUACAAGUUUGAAGCCUAUGAAAAGAAAGACAAUGGGAAGAUGUUUCCAAGUCCUACUGUUUCUCCUAAAAGGAUGCAUUUUAUAAGACCACAGGACUUCUGCUGGCUUGCGAUCUAUGAGUAAUUAUUUCUUUAGGGAGGGGUGGUUGGGAAGACACAUUUGUUUUGUGUUGUGGAGAUGGAACCUAAGGCCCUGUGCAUGCUGGGCCAAUGCUGUACUGCUAAGCCACCCCCAACCCCAGCCCGUAUAUAAUUCUAAUCAAUGUUUUUAUUUCCCAUUAAUCUAACUAGAUUAUAUUAAAUAUGCCUUAAGAAAU
rnacentral:lncRNA from 1 species